rnacentral:lncRNA from 10 species
AUCGCCUGGGACUCCUCGGAAGCAUGAGCAAGCCGCCACCACGCGAAGGCACUGGGGCACAGCCAGCGCGAGGCGCCGAGGUCCCUUCCCAAGGCUUGUUAACACUGUAACCCGGCACUCGGAGAGAAGAAGCAGCUCACACUGCCCAGAGCCUACCUCACUGCACAUCAGAUGACUCCCUGGCUUCUACACACAGUUGGAGUUCCGCUUGAAACCUGGAUUUAGAGGGGUUCUCUGGCCGCCAUGGCACUCAAUCAUACCACCUAGAGUGGACUGGCCGAGACCAGACUGGGUACCAAGCAGAGAAGUGCAGAGGAAAGCACUGGGAGAGCACCAGAAUUGGAAAUAGAGCGGCCAUUUGGAUUUGGGCAGGAAGCAGCCGAGCACAGCUUUGGAUCCUUCUUUAGGGAAAUCGAGUUAUGGAUUUAUGGUCCCGGUCAAGCUCAGCCCAUCCCCAGGCAGGGGCGGGCUCAGCGAGCAGCAAGAGUUCUGGUGGCGGCGGCGGCGGCAGUAGCAGCGGCAGCGGUAGCAGCGGCAGCGGUAGCAGCGGCAGCGGCAGCUUGGUCCUCUGACUCUCUUCGGUGACGGGUAUUCUUGGGUGGAUAAUACGGAUUACGUUGUUAUUGCUUAAGAAUACGCGUAGUCGAGGAGAGUACCAGCGGCAGGGGGGCAGCGGCCGCCCUCCCCAGCCCACCAGCUGGCCACUAAACGCCCGUGGUUGCCAAGGCAUCCAAAGCCUCUGGGAUGUGUUCUGACUGUAAAAACUCUGAUGUUGUGAAAAAAGCUUACGCUUUGCCUCCACUCAAACCAGAUGGUGUUUCGCUCUUAUUGCCCAGGCUGGAGUGCAAUGACGUGAUCUUGACUCACCACAGCCUCUGCAUCCAGGAUUCAAGCUAUUCCCCUGCCUCAGCCUCCCAAAAUGCUGGGAUUAUAGGCGUGAGCCACCACGCCUGGCCAGCAUUCCCAAUUUUUAAAAAUGAAUGAUUGGCACAAAUCUUAGAAAGCCAUUUUCUGUAGAUUUGAAAGCAAUGCUAUUUACAUUGUUACUACUUUCUUGUUAAAUCUUGCAUGUCUGCAGUAUGUGUUGUAAUAGAAACCUAAGAUUAUGAUCUGCUGUAUUCAUAUUUGAAGAAGAAAAUUUCAGACUGUAUAAUCAACUAGUUGAUGAUUCAUAUUUGCUUGUACAAAGUUAAAAGUGUAACUUGCCAGAAAAGAAGGAAGCCUGAAAAGUAUUCUAAAUACAUUAAUAAGAAGGGUUCUACAUGAAUUAAUUUUUGUUUUGCCAUCUACAGAGUUCCUGCCACAUUCUAGGCACUUCAUAUUUGCUGCAACAUUUAUUCAGACAUUGACAGAACAAGAGAAACGAAGUUAAAUUUUAAGUACCAUGGAUUGAAAUUAAAUUUAGGGAAGAUAUUUUAUAGUAUGAAUUGUUCAUCUGUAUUUAACAAGGUAUUCAUUUAUUUUGGGCGAUUUAAGGAAGGUCCUUUCUGGAAACAGGAUUACAAACAUAUGGACCUAUUUAGUCAAUUUCAACCUUGUGAUUUUGAAUCUGACAGGUUCUCAGCUGCUUUUAUUAAAUAACGGAUUUUCUUAAUAAUUACUGUACUCAAACUUAGCAAAAAGCUCUAUUUAUAGCCCAGUUUUUUAGUCACACACUAUUGUGUCUUGUCAAAUUGAAACCAUAUACUACAUUCUUUACUUAUUAAGAUGGUCUUUCUUUGUAAUAAUUUUGGAGUAAAUAGUUUACUUAUCUAAACCUCUGAUUUCUGAUUUAACAGAUUUUUGAAGCAUUUAUUUUCCUUACCAUACAUAAAAAUUGUCAGUUGAGGACAAGGAAGGAUUAACCUGGACUACGGUGAAUAAUUGUUCAGGUUGCUUACUGUGUAACUCCAGAGGAGCAUUCACAUGGUACAAUUUGCAGAUUUAAGUAUUUAUUACAACCAUUUUCUGGCAGAUAACAGUGGAACACCCUGUUCUGUUAAAAUUAGUUUAUUAUGACAAAUUGCCUACAGAUGGACAUAAACUGUCUUGAGGAAGGGCACCUGCUUUGGACUGAAUCGUGUCCCCCCAAAAUCAAAUGUUGAAGCCUAAUCUCUAAUAUGAUGGUAUUUGGAGAUGGGGCCUUUGGGAGAUAACUAGGUUUAGAUGAGGUCAAGAGUGUGGGGCCUUCCUGAUUAGUACCCUGAAAAGAGAAAACACCAGAGAGCUUGCCCUCUCUCCCUCUUACCCCACAGGCACACAAAGAGGUCAUGUGAGUACACAGUGAGAUAACAACCACCUAUGAGAAAACAGAAGAGGCUUCAGAGUGAAAUCUACUUUGCUGGUACUGUAAUCUUGGACAUUAUUCUCUAGAACUGUGAGAUAAUAAAUUUAUCUUAUUU